ACCGUGGUAAUUCUAGAGCUAAUACAUGCUAAAAAUCCCAACUUCGGAAGGGAUGUAUUUAUUAGAUUAAAAACCAAUGCCCUUCGGGGCUCCUUGGUGAUUCAUGAUAACUCUUCGAAUCGCAUGGCCUUGUGCCGGCGAUGGUUCAUUCAAAUUUCUUCCAUAUCAACUUUCGAUGUUUGGGUAUUGGCCAAACAUGGUUGCAACGGGUAACGGAGGGUUAGGGCUCGACCCCGGAGAAGGAGCCUGAGAAACGGCUACUACAUCCAAGGAAGGCAGCUGGCGCGCAAAUUACCCAAUCCCGACACGGGGAGGUAGUGACAAUAAAUACUGAUACAGGGCUCUUUUGGGUCUUGUAAUUGGAAUGAGUACAAUUUAAAUCCCUUAACGAGGAACAAUUGGAGGGCAAGUCUGGUGCCAGCAGCCGCGGUAAUUCCAGCUCCAAUAGCGUAUAUUAAAGUUGUUGUGGUUAAAAAGCUCGUAGUUGAACCUUGGGCCUGGCUGGCCGGUCCGCCUCACCGCGUGUACUGGUCCGGCCGGGCCUUUCCCUCUGUGGAGCCCCAUGCCCUUCACUGGGUGUGGCGGGGAAACAGGACUUUUACUUUAAAAAAAUUAGAGUGCUCCAGGCAGGCCUAUGCUCGAAUACAUUAGCAUGGAAUAAUAGAAUAGGACGUGUGGUUCUAUUUUGUUGGUUUCUAGGACCGCCGUAAUGAUUAAUAGGGACAGUCGGGGGCAUCAGUAUUCAAUUGUCAGAGGUGAAAUUCUUGGAUUUAUUGAAGACUAACUACUGCGAAAGCAUUUGCCAAGGAUGUUUUCAUUAAUCAGGAACGAAAGUUAGGGGAUCGAAGACGAUCAGAUAUCGUCGUAGUCUUAACCAUAAACUAUGCCGACUAGGGAUCGGACGAUGUUAUUUUUUGACUCGUUCGGCACCUUACGAGAAAUCAAAGUGCUUGGGCUCCAGGGGGAGUAUGGUCGCAAGGCUGAAACUUAAAGAAAUUGACGGAAGGGCACCACCAGGGGUGGAGCCUGCGGCUUAAUUUGACCCAACACGGGGAAACUCACCAGGUCCAGACACAAUGAGGAUUGACAGAUUGAGAGCUCUUUCUUGAUUUUGUGGGUGGUGGUGCAUGGCCGUUCUUAGUUGGUGGAGUGAUUUGUCUGCUUAAUUGCGAUAACGAACGAGACCUUAACCUGCUAAAUAGCCCGUAUUGCUUUGGCAGUACGCUGGCUUCUUAGAGGGACUAUCGGCUCAAGCCGAUGGAAGUUUGAGGCAAUAACAGGUCUGUGAUGCCCUUAGAUGUUCUGGGCCGCACGCGCGCUACACUGACGGAGCCAGCGAGUUCUCCCUUGGCCGGAAGGUCCGGGUAAUCUUGUUAAACUCCGUCGUGCUGGGGAUAGAGCAUUUCAAUUAUUGCUCUUCAACGAGGAAUCCCUAGUAAGCGCAAGUCAUCAGCUUGCGUUGAUUACGUCCCUGCCCUUUGUACACACCGCCCGUCGCUACUACCGAUUGAAUGGCUCAGUGAGGCGUCCGGACUGGCCCAGAGAGGUGGGCAACUACCCCUCAGGGCCGGAAAGCUCUCCAAACUCGGUCAUUUAGAGGAAGUAAAAGUCGUAACAAGGUC
rnacentral:rRNA from 1 species